rnacentral:rRNA from 1 species
AUGGUUAGUGCCAAGAGACUUUCUGAGAUGAUGGCUAAGAAGUGGCAGAAAAUAGCGGCCAUCCAGAGGAAGAGGCUCACCCAGACCACGACAGUGGCGAAAGGAGCAGCCAAUGACGAGUGCUGUGCCACAUCGCCGUCAGUGGCGAUGAAGGGCCACUGUGUUUUGUACACCGCUGACAGGGCGCGGUUCGAGGUGCCGCUAGCAUACCUCAGCACAUUGAUCUUCAGCGAGCUUCUGACGAUGUCCCAGGAGGAGUUUGGCUUUGUAGGCGGCGAUGACAGGAGGACCAUGCUGCCCUGCAAUGCCGCUGUCAUGGAAUACGCCAUGUGCUUGCUCUAG